rnacentral:rRNA from 1 species
UACGUAGGGGGCAAGCGUUGUCCGGAUUUAUUGGGCGUAAAGAGCGUGUAGGCGGCCGCACAGGUCCGUUGUGAAAACUGGAGGCUCAACCUUCAGACGUCGAUGGAAACCGUGCGGCUAGAGUCCGGAAGAGGAGAGUGGAAUUCCUGGUGUAGCGGUGAAAUGCGCAGAUAUCAGGAGGAACACCAGCGGCGAAGGCGGCGCUCUGGGCCGGAACUGACGCUGAGGAGCGAAAGCGUGGGGAGCAAACAGG